GGAGAAGCCCGGCCCGUUGUGGGAUUCGACUUGUGAUUUCUUACAUUUUAAUGUAAGUCUGGGGAAAAAACCCAUUGCGCGUCGCCCUUUAAGUGUUCAACGCAUCAACUUGUGUGUUUACCCGUGUGGACAACUGGGAUUUUGUGUAGAAAAAGUCGUUACGAAGUUGAAGCGGCCAAGUGUGGAAUCGUGCGGUACCUGAACCUCUCCGAGUGGCCUGAAUGUGAAUGAGCAGCUGCCGGCCUUGGAUAGGAGAUUACUGGCCGUGUUUUUGUGGUUAUCCUGAGUUGUAUCUUAACCUUAAAGAAGGUAUCCUUCCCAGUUUCGCCUCUUCAACAUUGCGAUGAUUUUUAGAACCGGAUUAUGUUGGUUGAAAAACUGCUUGGCCCCCAAGGCAUCCAUACGCUGAAGCGCAGUCCCAACUGGAAUUUCACAUGCAGUACCGGCUCUCAACUCCUGUCUGGUUUCCCUUUCCAGUGCUUGCAGAGUCUGUUGUAUGUUUUGAAGUCACGCAGGACUUUUAUUGUUGAUGUGAGUGGAACGUACUCUUGUGACUCCUUCGCUGGACAUAGCUGGAUGCAGCUCAACGGUUGCUGGACUUGAGCCUUUCAAUGAAGAAUAUGAGAACUAGGAUUUUGGCAGACUGAUUAUGACGGUAUUUUUUUUGGUGUUUCUUGUAUGGGGAAAGUAAGCACAUCUUGAUAAAUUGGUGUCUGAGAAUUGCAUGUUUUGAAAGGAAACCUGGGUUUGGUCUCUUCUUGUUUUUCUUUUCAUUGAACAUGACUUGGUGAUUAUAUCACUGUCUUUGUGGUUGAGAGCGGGAAAGCAAUGUUUUGGCACCGUUAGACUUUGUAAUCUCACUUUAGCAUUAGGAUGACGCUCUCUAUUGCAACAUGGAGGUCGACUCCCUUGCUCCGACAGAUUUUUCCACCGAGCAGCUGACACCUGCAGUUUGUUCAUCGGAUAGUCUGUGCCGAGCAGUGUUCUUAGAGAGUUGAGUAGGUGGGUUGGUCACUUGAGUCAAAUGAGAUUCAGGUGGAGGGUAAUGAAUACAUGUAUUUGAGAAUGUUCUUACACAGUGGUAGGGCUUGAUCACUGUCUUAUGUUGCUACUAUCGCUCGAUGUCAAUGGCAUUCAUUCCAUUGGUAGUUAUUUGCGAGACCCCCACAACAUGUUGUUUCUGCUAACCAGAUUAUGCCUGGUUUGUGUCAUGUUCAGUGGCUGAACUAAUUUUUUCACAUAGUGUGGUGAUCUUUGACUAACUGUAAUGCAGUGCACCCUUUCUCCACCCAAAUACUUCUCAGUCUAUUCCAUCCUCUGCACUCUCUCCCAAUUGUCUGUCCGAUCCAGUGGGCAAGCCUAUUAGGGCUCUGAUUGUGACGUGCGAUCAGCUGGCCUAACUUUGCGUCAAAGUGUACUGCAUUACUUUUAGCAGAGUAAAUGGUGACCCUUACUUUGGUUCAGAUCAGUUCAGUUGCUUUUAUCAUGUUCCUUACCAUAAUUGUCCAUUUUCUGGUAAAUUUUUAAACUGUUGUUCAUUUUUAAGGGAGUAGGUGGGGCAAAAAGAAAUUCUAAGGUGCAAGAGGCUCACCAACCCCUGUAAAAGCAGAAGGGUUUAGUAAAUGGAUACCUAUGUAGAGGUCAAAUCUAGAUGCAAUGAUGCAGCUUCUGGUGCAUGACAGUAAUGUAGGAUGCUCGUGUUCAAUGUACUUUCAGUUUAACUCGGCCAAUAAUUCUAGCAUCUGUGAGCGGCACUCUCAAAGUCCUCCACUUGAAAUGAGCUUUGUAAGCUUUGCCACAACAGCAGUUGUGCAAUGCCACCGUUGAAGUUGAAAUAAUUUCUGUAAUUCAUUAAUUCUCUAAGCAUUGUGAGCGGCACUCUCUAAGUCCUCCACUUGAAAUGAGCUUUGUAAGCUUUGCGACAACAGCAGUUGUGCAAUGCCACCGUUGAAGUUGAAAUAAUUUCUGUAAUUUAUUAAUUCUCUAAGCACUGUGAGCGGCACUCUCUAAGUCCUCCACUUGAAAUGAGCUUUGUAAGCUUUGCCACAACAGCAGUUGUGCAAUGCCACCGUUGAAGUUGAAAUAAUUUCUGUAAUUCAUUAAUUCUCUAAGCAUUGUGAGCGGCACUCUCUAAGUCCUCCACUUGAAAUGAGCUUUGUAAGCUUUGCGACAACAGCAGUUGUGCAAUGCCACCGUUGAAGUUGAAAUAAUUUCUGUAAUUAAUUAAUUCUCUAAGCACUGUGAGCGGCACUCUCUAAGCCUUCCACUUGACAGGGACCUUUGUAAGCUUUGCCACAACAGCAGUUGUGCAAUGCCACCGUUGAAGUUGAAAUAAUUUCUGUAAUUUAUUAAUUCUCUUAGCACUGUGAGCGGCACUCUCUACGCCUUCCACUUGAUAUGGACCAUUGUAAGCUUUGCCACAACAGCAGUUGUGCAAUGCCACCGUUGGAGUUUCAAUAAUUUGAAAAGAUUUGACAAUUGUUGAAGGCAGUCUCAGGCUCGCUCUCUUGUAUGCCAAAAUGUUGUUAAAAGUUCAUCCAUAACCCAGGUGUUAUUGCAGGGUUGCAGGUACAAUAUUGAUGUGAUUGUCUCAUUGCUUCACAGGAUCAACUGUUAACCAUGUUUUUUUUUUUUUUUUGCUUUACUGACUCUUGUUUGAACUAUGAUUAUUUCAAAGGUUGAAGUGUGUUAGCAUAGGCACAGCUCUGUUUCUUGUUGUUAAAUGCAUAGUGUUAAUUUGAUAUUGGAACCAUCUCAAUGCAUAUCCCUACAUUGCCAUUUGUCCCAGCUGGACCACAACUCAACUGCUCUGCAGUCAUGAUGAUGCACCUCUAUUGACAGAGGCCUAAGUUGACUAUGUACGUUCUCAAGCAACAAUUUGGUGAACCGAGCACAAGGUUAACUUAGCUCAUUGAUAGCUUUUCAUUGCUGCCUGUGGUGAGUCCGUUCCAUUCUGUGUGUCCGUCUUCUUUUCAAAAUCUGAAUGAUCGUGGUGUUGGCAAUUAGUUGCAGAGGAUUUUGGAUCUAUUUUGUAUGAAUUAAGGGCCAUAAUUUUCAUAACUGGGUGCACUUAGCACCUAAAGCAGAUUAACAUUGCAUAAGUCCCAACAUGCAGUGCAUUACUAGUUGUUGCAUUUCUAUUAUCCUAUGAUUCAGCUCAGAGUUGCUCAGCAGGACUUAAAAUUUUUCUUCACGAUAUUUCACUUUGUUGCAAUACUAAUAAUAUUCGAUUCAGGGUUGCUUAUCAGAACAAUUUGUUGCAUUUCUUUUGCCAUCCAAUUCAGAUUGCUGCAAAACACUGCUAUUCAAAGGUUUUUAUUUAUUUAUUUUCAGUUCAUUACCAAGUAGUUUCAUUAUUAUUGUCAAGUAAUUAUUUUUAUUCUUGUGACCUAUGUUCCAAUUUAUCGUAUUUUAAUUCAAAGUUAAAAGCAAGCAAUUUAUGAGCAGUUGCUCUUUUCACAUGUUUUGAGCAUUUAAAAAAAAAGGGGAAACUGAUAGUAACAGUGAUUGUCAAUGUUUAAAGCAUUUCAUUCAUCAAUGGUACAUCUGCAUGGGUUUGUGUUCAGUCACCGACAAAUUGGUUACGAUUGGAUACGUAUGAUGUGAUCCAGAGUCCGUUUGGAUGUGUUCCCAUUGAGUGCUCUCUGUGCUGCUGUAGCGAGCAUGGCAAGUAAUUUGAGGCCUUCUCUAACUCACCCACACCCCUUCUUCGCCCCUUCCCAGCCCCAAAGAGCAUUAUAAUAUGCUCACCUUUAUUAUUAUUAUAUCUUUACUUUCUCUUCCUUUAAAAAUUCACUUUCUGAAAACAAGUAACUAGCAGAAGUGUGGUUUCGGUUAAGAAACCCCCUGCCACCCCAGGCGAGAGCCGUGACCCGGUGUUAUGGCCGCCUGUAGAGGUGUUAACAUUUGUCAAAUGAUGAUGUAUUAAGUGUAAGCAGAAGUGUGGUUUCGGUGAACAAACCCCCUGCCACCCCAGGCGAGAGCCGUGACCCGGUGUUACGGCCGCCUGAAGAGGUGUUAAGAUUUGUCAAAUGAUGUAUUAAAUGUAAGCAGAAGAGUGGUUUCGGUGAAGAAACCCCCUGCCACCCCAGGCGAGAGCUGUGACCCGGUGUUACGGCCGCCUGAAGAGGUCUUCAUAUUUUGUUCUCAUUUAAACUAUCCCCCCACCCCCUUUCCCCUCCUCCCCCUCGCCUCCACCCCCUUCCUCUCGUCUCAUGCAGGCCAAACAGGUAAGACUAAGCUGUAUUUUCUUAUCCACACAUUUUACAGGUAUUCGUUACAUCUUUUGCUCUCAAAGGGGUGGACUUGGUAGUAAAGGUGGCCCUGAGAUGUAUCGUGCAACUGUUGCCAAUUGUAGUGGGCAUGUACUUUUCUUGUGCAUCUUUAUUCCAGGUUUUCCACUUAUUCAAUUUGGCAUCCUGCCCACUGAUGCUACAGACUGGAGCUUCACCUCAACUUGACUAGGAGACUAGGAUGCCACCAAGAGAAGUAAACACUUAAAUGAGAAAGGGAGAAAUUACCAGCUAGCAUUGCUGAUUGUGCCCUGUCCUCCACCAAAAAUUGGUGGCAUUCUAUGAGGUGCAUGGAUUCCAAUACUUGCGUGUCUAUGAAUCUGAUUCCCAAAGCAGACUUCUUUUUAAACUAUUCCUGG